rnacentral:rRNA from 1 species
GGGCGGCGGACGGGUGAAGUAACGCGUGGGUAACCUGCCUCAUACACAUGGAUAACAUAACGAAGGUAUGCUAAUACAGGAUAAUAUAAGAGAUUCACAUGGAUUUCUUAUCAAAGCUCCGGCGGUAUGAGAUGGACCCGCGUCUGAUUAGCUAGUUGGUAAGGUAAUGGCUUACCAAGGCGACGAUCAGUAGCCGACCUGAGAGGGUGAUCGGCCACAUUGGAACUGAGACACGGUCCAAACUCCUACGGGAGGCAGCAGUGGGGAAUAUUGCACAAUGGGCGAAAGCCUGAUGCCAGCAACGCCGCGUGAGUGAUGAAGGCCUUCGGGUCGUAAAACUCUGUCCUCAAGGAAGAUAAUGACGGUACUUGAGGAGGAAGCCCCGGCUAACUACGUGCCAGCCGCUGC